UAUACUCCAAUGGGGACAUGAAAGGAGUGAUACCAGUCUGCUGUGGAUUGACACAGUCUCUAUAUUAAAAAAGUCUCUUUCAGAAAAUGUGAAAUCAGACAUCUACAAUUUUAAAACAAGAUAAAACUAUGGGAAAGAACACAGGACAACCUUCUAACUGAAUGAUGAAAUAAUAAGAUAAAAUGGACCAGGUUGUUCUAACAUCAUUGAUUACUGAAGAAGGGAGGAGCUACAUUUACUCAGGAGUGUUUUACCUGAAAACACCAGGUUUCAUGGAUUAAUAACUACAGCUGUUCCCACUCCCUAGCUUGAGAUGACA